UACGUAGGGGGCAAGCGUUGUCCGGAAUCAUUGGGCGUAAAGAGCGUGUAGGCGGCCAGAUAAGUCCGCUGUGAAAUCUCGAGGCUCAACUUCGAGCUGUCGGUGGAAACUGUCUGGCUAGAGUCCGGAAGAGGAGAAAGGAAUUCCUGGUGUAGCGGUGAAAUGCGCAGAUAUCAGGAAGAACACCCGUGGCGAAGGCGGUUCUCUGGGACGGUACUGACGCUGAGACGCGAAAGCGUGGGGAGCGAACAGG
rnacentral:rRNA from 1 species